UGGUGCAGAUUGUUCGGCGAUUCAGGCUGGUGGAAGUUGUUAUAAUCCCAAUACUCUUCAUGAUCAUGCUUCUUAUGCUUUCAACAAUUAUUAUCAGAAGAAUCCAAUUCCAAGCAGCUGCAUUUUUGGAGGAACUGCUGUUACUACCAGCACUGAUCCAAGCAGUGGGACAUGUCAGUAUCCAUCCACAAGCACAAGCUCGUCAGUGUUGAAC
rnacentral:misc_RNA from 1 species